GAGAGAGAGAGAGAGAGAGAGAGCAGUCCCUUUGUUACAUAGAUGUUGUCCAGAUACCUGAUGUGUUCAUCAUCAUUGACUACCUCCACUGGGAUUUUUCCUUCCCUACUGGCAAUGAAUCCGUCUUCAACUCCUGCACAGACCACAGUGCUUCCCCUUCGAUUGCCUUGAGUGGAGUAUAAUUGGCAUAUUAGAAUGUUUUCUUUGACUUUUACAGGGAUCCAUUUGCUCAUUUCAAAGAUAUUACUGUACUUAAGCGACUAACUUUUUUUCCAACAUAUUUGCAAUAUUUGGCCAAAAGAUAGCGAAUUAAACGUAAUUGCUACUUUCAUAAUUUGGCAUUUGCACACCUACUGACUCCACUUCAUGUUUUGAUAAUUAGGGCACUCCAGUUCAAGUGGUAGAAUUUUGCUUAGCAGUCUCCUCGACAUCUCUUAAAUAAAUGGGCACACGCAGGGAAUAUUAAUACGAUUUUUCCCUCUUUGAAUAAAUCCUGCUUCCAACAAUACGCUAUAGUACACCAUACCCCAAAUAUAAGGGUGACUGUAUACAACUUGACAGGUGUCCUGACGUGACAGAAUCAUUCUCUUUGUAAGCUGUCAUGUUUUGAUUUAGCUUAGCUAAGCUUAGCAACCUAAGUUAAUCCAAUUGAUCAGUUUUUGUCUGUCUAAUUCGAUCUUUGUCAGUGCCAUCUUAAAAUGUCCAGUAACAUUAUGCCAAUCGAAUAUGAUAUAAGAUAUGCUCUCUAAAAUAAGCCAAUUAUUCAAAUUGUGUUCAUUUUUGAGAUGCUCUGCCAAAUGUGUUCUUUCUAGACGUGGAGGACUCAUCUGCAUGGUCUGUACUCAUUCAGCUGUUCUAUUUGACAGGCCCUUUAUGUUAAGUUUCAUUACAUUACAUUACAUUUAUUUAGCAGACGCUUUUAUACAAAGCAACAUACGAAAGUGCAUGUCAUGAUCAUCGGACAACUACAAAACACAGGUUCAGUAAGGUAAAAUACUCAUUUCGUACAGCUAUUUACAGCCAGGAACACAGUUCGGUUCAGGCAGUGAACAUUAUUUUGACCUGAAUUAUGCCAAGCCAAACUAGGGAGAAGAACAAGCUACAAUAUUAGGACAAAUACAAAUGACAAAAAGUGCUGGAAUGGGGUACAUCCCCACACCCAGAAAGAUCAGGUGCAGUGACAGAACCGAUGUGCAUCCGAAGUAGAAAUAUUAUUUGCAUUGCUAUUUUUUCACCAGUCCCCAGCAGUAGAUUUGUUCUCACACCCCCCUCCUGCCCCCAGCAGGACGUCCAUCUCCACAUUCCCUCCCUCAUACUGAGCACUCCUGGAGCUACUGAUGUGCAGUCACAUCAAUGCCAUUCAUGUGUGUUUACUUAAUGCGCAUAUCUGUACCGCUGAAUUUCCCACAUCUGUUGCAAACAGGUUCUGUGGUGCUGUGUGCCUGUGUGCGCAUGGGCUUGCGUGCGUGCGUGUGUGUGUGUGUGUGUGUGUGUGUUGUUGCGUUGUGUGUGCUGGACCAGAGUCAAGUUGGCUGCCUGUUCCCUGUAAGGGCUGCCAUGUGGCUAACAGCUCCCAGCAGCCUCCUUUCCUUGUGUUUUUUCAUCACGGCUACCAGAUCAGCCAUGCGUCUGUGCCAGAGCUGUGACAGCACUGAAUGGGUCAUUAGGGACGGAAGCUGGCAUUGGUUUGGCACAGUUAGGGACAGACGCUGUUAUUGGUUGGGCAUGGUUCGGGACAGAGACUGCCAUUGGUUGGACAUGGUUAGAGACAGAGACUGCCAUUGGUUUGGCACUGUUCGGGACCGAUGCUGCCAUUGAUUGAACACAGUUUGUGAGGGAGGCUGCCAUUUACAGAACAUGCUGUAAAUAAGAACAAUAAAGAGGGAGAGAAGGAGAUCUGAAUAGAGAGCAGAAAAUCUCCAUGAUGUUGGAGACGAUGCACGUCCCAACGCCUGUCAGUCACACAUGGGAACUGUUAUACAACAGUCACCUCUCCCCUUAACACACAACUGUUACUUCUCCCCUUAACACACCACAUUCACCUCUCCCCUUAACACACAACAUUCACCUCUCCCCUUAACACACCACAUUCACCUCUCCCCUUAACACACAACAUUCACUUCUCCCCUUAACACACAACUGUUACUUCUCCCCUUAACACACCACAUUCACCUCUCCCCUUAACACACAACAUUCACUUCUCCCCCUUAACACAAAACAGUCACCUCUCCCCUUAACACACACCAGUCACCUCUCCCCUUAACACACAACAUUCACCUCUCCCCUUAACACACAACAUUCGCCUCUCCCCUUAACACACAACAUUCACCUCUCCCCUUAACACACAACAUUCGCCUCCCCCCUUAACACACAACAUUCACCUCUCCCCUUAACACACAACAUUCGCCUCUCCCCUUAACACAAAACAGUCACCUCUCCCCUUAACACACAACAUUCGCCUCUCCCCUUAACACAAAACAGUCACCUCUCCCCUUAACACACUCUCCCUGGCAUUACUGGAAGGCCCAGAGGCUGAGGUCUGUGCUGAUGAAUAAGCUUUUGGAGUUCCUGUCGUCGAGACGUUCCCAGGUCGAAAAGGUAGUUUAUUGCUUUGGGGCGGAUGGAGGAAGCAGAGAGAGGCAGCCCCCCUGGAGCCUUGGAGACGGCUGUGUGCACGCAUUGGCUCCCUCCGUCAUCUAGGGAUUAUUGUGAUGAAGGGAAGUUGAGCAAAACGCUUCAUCUCAUCCUCGCUCAAUAUGUUUUGGAACACUUUAUUUCCCAGCCUUUGUCUUGCGUUCAAGGAGAUUUUCCAAUGCAGGCUGGAACUCGGACGGAAAACGCGCGCAGGUUGCCAGGUUGUUCUUCAAGUUGCAAAGGAAACGGGAGAGAAGUGGUGCAGUGUCUCAUGCGCAGAGCCAGGUGCCUCAGCAGGGCCCACACAGGAGGGGAGCAGAGCCAUAUGCUUGUUUCCUUUGUUUGACUGGAUGAUGAUAUUCUGGAGGUGCUUUUGUCUAAAUCCUUUGUUUUUUGGAUUGAUUACCUGGAACCCGGCUAGAUUAAGCUUUGGUAAAUCAACAGAAAGCACUCAGAAGUAGAAGCUGAUAUUUCACUAUCUCCUAUGAACACACUAUUUCAGUGUGCCGUGAAAUAAUCCCAUAAGAAGGAUUAUGUGCAGGAAAAAAACAGCAAUUAAAUUCUUGGAAAAGCAAACUUGAUUUUCAUAAUCAUGUAGUUUUUUUAAAUUAUUCUGUAUUUGUCUCCUGGUGCCUGUCCAUUGGUAUUUCAUACCCCUGUCAUAGUGGAGGUUCCUCAGUAAAUACUAAUGCAGUGCAGAGUGCUGGACUGACUGGCCAUGAAGCGAAUGUGAAACCCUGUUACUUUCUGACCCUCUUCGUUUCCCGCCAGUCUGGAGGGGUCGCCUGUCUGCCAGGUCAGACGAGCCGCCCUGCGUCCCGCACGCUCAUCAGUGGAGAAUUCUUGUGCUCCGAAAAAGAGUUUGAAUCUUUGCCUGUUUUCAGGUCCUUUCAGCUGCAAGCAUUCUACAUGCUCAAAUGUGUACAUAGGCUGUAAUGUUCUGACAACCCAUAGCAGGGCGGUCAAAUCUCUUUCUUUAAAAGAAAAUUUAGAACAUGGUAAAUAUGUGAAAUUUGACAGGCACUUUGUUUUAGCACAGAACAGAAAAAAAAGAUUAUGUAUUAUGCACCAUUGUCUGUUCAUUCUGUUUAUCUGCUUGGCAGACCCAUGUUUAUCCAGUGCUUACAUGAGUACCUGUUAUCCAUAUUAGUAAUAGCUGGGUACUAAGUGAAGUUGAGUAUCUUUAGGUACAAUGACAGUGCUCUGUUUCAAGCUGUGCUCCUUAAACACUGCACAGUGCUUACUCCCACCUGUUUGGUAGGCGAGGUAUCCGACAGAGCUGAGACAGACCCCCCACAGGGCCUGAGAAAUUUCCCCAAAAAAUGCAUUUUACAGCUCUGUUGACAAGUAUCAAGUACUAUAUUUUACAAGCUGUGUCAAUUCAAAUAUGUUAGGCCCAGAGAAAACCUGUUUAAAAACCAUAUGAAAAAUGCAAUCCUUCCAUACAGGAAGUAACCCCACCCCCUUCUCCCCAUUUCAACAAAAAACAUCUGGAGGUUGUAAAAAAAGGUGUAAAGAGGCUCUGAAAAUUUACAGAGAUUGUACAGAGGUUCAGGACUGUGUGUUAUACCCUGUUUUUCUGUUGGGUGUUGAUAAGACGAUCAAUCAACAGCAAGGCUUUGCGAUUUCCAUGUAAUUGACAAAACCUCAUCGCAUGCUCACAUAUGUAAGUGGUAUGACCUUGCUGCUGAUUGGCUGUCUUAUCAACACCCAAUAAACAGUGGUGGCAUUUUGAACCCGGAAGCAUUUCACGUGGCCUCUGAAGUUUUGGUUGGAUUUAUUACCACAUCUGGUAUAAUUAGAGGAAAAAAAGGCAAAAAGAAAGGCAGUACACCACAUGGUGGCGACUGCUAUGGCGUGUGAUAAUGUCCGCUGCAGUAUAUCACCCAGCCCUAGUUGUGGUGCUGGGCACCGUAGAAGGCUCUCCUCCACAGCACUGUACUCUAGGCACGGAUCAUGAGAAAGUCCCCGGCUCUGUGCUUUUGCCUUGGCUGCACACCAGGGAAAGGACUUUAAAAAAGCCAUGCAUUGGAUCUGAUUUGCUUCCAGAUUUUGGGGCAGAGCCGCGGUCCUCGUGCUGGAGGCCUCUUCCGCUCAGGCUGCCAGCCGUUUUGGGCCAGUGUGCUACAGCCAGGGGGGGGGGGUCAGUGCUGCUGCCCAGCGCUGGCAUACGCAGGGGUGUUUCUGUUUGUUUGGGUUUGCCUUUGGCCGCACAUUCAGAAUGCAAUCAUGGCUUGAUGACUCGGCGUAAACUGCGUAAUACUUACGUUGGGCCACCAGUUUGCCUCCCCUUUUUUUCCUGCGUAGUACUUCGCCAGCUAGAGGUCGCGAUAGCCUCUUUGUCAAGACCCUUCUCAGACAAUUAUCCCAUUUGCACCACCUCAGUAAUCUAAGUUGAUGAAGUAAUUGCCACUAAUUAGGCACAGACGAUGACGGACAGCGAUGUUCACAAGCAACACUCGCGGGUUAGAUAUGGUUUGAUUACUUACUACCGUGGACAUGCUACAGUAUUUUUAGUUGUUGUACACGGGCAUGUUAGGUUUUAUUAGAAGCAAUGGGAAAUGCCCAAAUUGAAAAUGAGAGCAGUUAAAUAACAUUUAACUUGCACAAAAAAGUUUUUUUUUUUUUUUUUUAAUUGAUGAUUCAACUAAUUAACUAAUCAUGGUUUCCAAUCAAGACUUUAAGUAGAAUCAGGUGUCUUAGUGUUGGACUAAAACAAAAACCUGCAUUAACCUGCAUUCAGUGACCUAAAUUAACCAUGUAAUCAGCUGCUUUAACUGAUCAAUUUCUGCGCUACUCAAGUGCAGAGUAACAAUGAAAGCCAGCAGUCCCUGCAGCUCUCCAGGACCAGGAGUGAGGACCACUGCCUCAAAGACAUGCUUCCAUCCAUGAUCACGCACCUGACUCUCCCCAUAUUAGACCAACUAAUUGUUUUUUAUAAAUGCCUCACUUAGAAACUCAGUUGUAUGAUUAGCCACUUGACUUGUUGGAGUGCCUAUGGGGACACCCUGGUGGAUAACCAUUCAAGUACAAGUUUAAAGCCCUGCAGGUCACAUGGUGGAGACAAACUGGCGGUCCUAUCUAUGUGUAACACAUAAGAACGACAUGACAGUGAUAUAACAGUCUCAUAGAUUAUUCACCAUGUGCUAUGACAGACCAUAGUAGUGUAUAGCAUAAGUAAUAACUGUUCAUCUUCAAAUUAUUUAAAUCACGCACACCUUGUUGUGGUCAUGCAUCAAAUUACAAUAACUGUUAUGGUGAUUUAUACUUGCAUUACAUUGCUCCUGUAAUUAUUUGAAAUUUUUUAACAGAAUCACAAUGCAAUCACAAUAUGCAAUAUUCACAGAACAUUAUGUUAAGCAUGAAUUAACACAUUAUGAAUACUUUAUAUGGCUGCUAUGUCGUUAUUAUGUUGCACUUAUGAAUAUGUAAUGUACACAUUCUGAAUAUAAGGUUCUCCCUGUGAGAUUUUAAAAUGAGUCCUGGUUUUGAGCACAAAGAACAAGAGGCAGUCUUUGGAACGGGUGUAAUACAUCCUGAUCUUUCCUAGGCCCUGCUCAGGAGUUCGGUAGAACAGGGGUUGGUGUCUUUGAGAUACAUGUGUACAGCUGCAGGAGUAGAGAAGUUUGGGGGGGGGGGGGGUGCAGCUCCAUUAUCCAUUGUGCCAGAGCAGCCUUCCAGCAGCGAAAAUAACCCCUCCGUGUACCAAACCUCUCCAUCAUUCUCAGUGGUAGCGCUGCAGGCGGUGACUCCAGAGAGGUGACGGCAGGACAUGUCUGCGCUGUGACAUCACUCCUCCCAGGUGUUACUGCCACACGCCCACUUACACUCACCAGGGAACCGGGAGUCUCAGAAAUGCCUCAUGUCUCUCGCAGAAUUUACUUGUCUUGAUUUUCCCAGGGCAUGUUGAGCGCUAAAUUUGCCUCAGUUCUCUCGGUUGUUGUAUCUGGUAUGUCUUAGAUGUUUCUCUGAUAUGUUCCAGGCAUGUUCUAGUCAUACCUGUGGUGUUUCUUAUGGUGAUAAUGUGGCGUUUCUUACCUCACCUGUGUCUUUGUUGUGUCUCAGACACAGGGCCAUUGUGAGGACAGCGAUAGUCAUAAGCAUGUUUACAGAGCUGCCUCUGCUUCUGUUCAGCUGUGUGGUAGCUGUCCAUUGUCAGAAGCUGAAUAAAGCAUGGUAGUGACCACCAUGGGCCCAUCCCACACUGGGGGGCAUCCUUCCUCUUCCCCGGCCUGUGUCUCAGUAAACACAAGCAGCAGGCUGGAGCAGGUGCUCAUUGGCCCUGAGUAAAGCAGGGUGUGGCUCUGUGGUCCUGGCGGCAGUCCCCGGAGUGAAUGGCACUCAAUAGCCAGUCAGGGCACACUGAAGCUGUGGCUGUUGGCCUGGGUAGUGUGGGGGGAGGACGGCCAUGCAGGGACAUGAUGUCCAAUGUGGGGGCUCAGUGGUGCGUCUGCCUGUGGGGCUGACUGGCUGUUGUCUGGCGUUUUAUGACCCGUCGGAUCGGCUCUCUGUCCCGUCCCCAACACCACUGUGCCGUCCUUCACUGCUGCUUCGUUCUCAGGUUGUGUGUUUACUUAUUUAUUUAUUUCAGUCUUUUUUGUGCUAAACCACAUGUUCAUUCUCUGAUUGGGGACGUUCUCGGAAAAUAAAUGAAAAUGUCAAUAUCGCCACCCUCCCACCACCUGAAAUUGAUCAAAUGUUGCCAUGUUGUCUCUUCGAAAUCAAUUGCUCUAAUUUUGGUUGUCUGGCGGCAGGAGAGAGAGGGGAAAGUAUUCUACGCUGCUGCAUGCUCUGAGCUCCGAAAGGUGCAUGAAUGCAUGCAUGGGUGUGGAGUGAAUAUCACUCACAGUGAAGAAUAUUGCUGGUGGAAUGAGAGUAAUUUUUUUCUUCAUCCCUUAGAGGAAACGCUUUGAGAACGAUGCGUGCGCAUUUUCCAUGGACUGACCUGAUAGAUCUUCAAAGGCGCUUAUUUAACACCAUUUUGAAAAAUAUUGUAUGCCUGCUUUGUAAAAAAAAAA